CUGAGGCCAUCUUUUCAGGUGUUGCCCUUUACAAAAAAAGGGGGAAAUUAUCCAAUUGGUAGACCUUCAAGAGCUCAUUCAUUUGGAGUAAGUGCCAUGCUGGGAGUCAUUCUGGUCCUGAUUCAAUGCCAGUUGAAGAAACAGAAUAUGAUUCGAAGUGCACACAAUAAGAACUGAAUGGGAUUACUCACAUGAUCAAAGUGACUUACAUGUAUAAGCAUUUGAAGAAUUAGUGCUUUAGAAAAGGUGCCGUUAAUCUACCAAUGUCAAUCAUACAACCUUGCAAGAACAAAAGUGUGUGCCACUAACAUACCAGAGGAGAAUAAUUCCAGCUGCAACAGAAUGCCGCUCUUUUCUGUUUAUGGGAACUUCGAUGCAAUUAUUUUACAGAGAUGGACUUAUUCUAAACAACCCUAUCAUUUCUCGACUUUCAAAUUUCAUUAACUUAAGCACAAAUCAACAAUGACUCUACUCCAGCCUGCCUCUGAUAUGGUAUUUAGAAUAAACAUGGAUGGGUGAUCUUUUAUUC